ACUACAUGAGAGCAAAGAUAAACUUUGAAAAAAUAAAUGGGGUAGGUUACCAAGCCAGGAAUCGAACCUGGAUCUCUCUGAUAACAUGUCAGGAAUGUCCAUCGCUUGGCUUGAAUAAGGUUCACUAGUCACUUGACCAGUAGGCAUGAAAAAAACUUUAAUUAAAUAUAAUGUUUUAAAAAAAAUUA